rnacentral:ncRNA from 1 species
UAGAUAGAGGCGCGGUGCUCAUCAGUACCCCGUGGCAAGGCCGGGUGGCCGUCACUGGGGAAAGGGUGUACCGCCGAAGCUGCAAUGGAGCACCCGGUCCUUGUCUGCUGGGCCGUCAGAGAACAUCUGCCGGACUGUCACAAAACUUUGUGGAGCGCUAUCA